rnacentral:rRNA from 1 species
UACGUAGGGUGCAAGCGUUGUCCGGAAUUAUUGGGCGUAAAGAGCUCGUAGGCGGUUUGUUGCGUCGGCUUUGAAAUCCCGAGGCUCAACCUCGGGUCUGCAGUCGAUACGAGCAAACUAGAGUGUUGCAGGGGAGACUGGAAUUCCUGGUGUAGCGGUGAAAUGCGCAGAUAUCAGGAGGAACACCGGUGGCGAAGGCGGGUCUCUGGGCCGAUACUGACGCUGAGGAGCGAAAGCGUGGGGAGCGAACAGG